UUGAAAUAAAUCUGAUAGGUUGUUGCUGGUUCUCUCGGGAGCAUGUGCACACUUGUCAUCUUUAUAUCUCCACCUGUGCACCUUUUGUAAAUCUUGAAUAUCUCUCUGAAUGCUUGCCAUUCAGGUUUUGAGGAUUGAUCUUUUUCUUUCCUCACAUUUUCAGGUUUAUGUUUUUCAUAUACCCCAAGUAUGUUAUAGAAUGUUAUAAAACGGGCCUUUGUGCCUAUAAAUUUUAUA
rnacentral:misc_RNA from 1 species